rnacentral:rRNA from 1 species
AUUGAACGCUGGCGGCAGGCCUAACACAUGCAAGUCGCACGAGUGGCGGACGGGUGAGUAAUGUCUGGGAAACUGCCUGAUGGAGGGGGAUAACUACUGGAAACGGUAGCUAAUACCGCAUACCAUCGGAUGUGCCCAGAUGGGAUUAGCUAGUAGGUGGGGUAAAGGCGUACCUAGGCGACGAUCCCUAGCUGGUCUUAGAGGAUGACCAGCCACCUUGGACCUGAUCAACGGUCCAGACUCCUACGGGAGGCAGGCGUGGGGAAGAUUGCAGAAUGGGCGCAAGCCUGAUGCAUCCAUGCCGCGUGUAUGAAGAAGGCCUUCGGGUUGUAAAGUACUUUCAGCGGGUAGGCGUUACCCGCAGAAGAAGCACCGGCUAACUCCGUGCCAGCAGCCGCGGUAAUAC